rnacentral:rRNA from 1 species
GGCGUGCCUAAUACAUGCAAGUCGAGCGGACAGAAGGGAGCUUGCUCCCGGAUGUUAGCGGCGGACGGGUGAGUAACACGUGGGUAACCUGCCUGUAAGACUGGGAUAACUCCGGGAAACCGGAGCUAAUACCGGAUAGUUCCUUGAACCGCAUGGUUCAAGGAUGAAAGACGGUUUCGGCUGUCACUUACAGAUGGACCCGCGGCGCAUUAGCUAGUUGGUGGGGUAAUGGCUCACCAAGGCGACGAUGCGUAGCCGACCUGAGAGGGUGAUCGGCCACACUGGGACUGAGACACGGCCCAGACUCCUACGGGAGGCAGCAGUAGGGAAUCUUCCGCAAUGGACGAAAGUCUGACGGAGCAACGCCGCGUGAGUGAUGAAGGUUUUCGGAUCGUAAAGCUCUGUUGUUAGGGAAGAACAAGUGCGAGAGUAACUGCUCGCACCUUGACGGUACCUAACCAGAAAGCCACGGCUAACUACGUGCCAGCAGCCGCGGUAAUACGUAGGUGGCAAGCGUUGUCCGGAAUUAUUGGGCGUAAAGGGCUCGCAGG